CCCUUAGAUGUUCUGGGCUGCACACGUGCUACACUGGCAGGUUCAGCGAGCUUCAUGCCCUGAUCUGAAAGGAAUGGGAAAUCUUUUCAAAACCUGCCGUGCUUGGGAUAGAUGUUUGCAAUUAUUCAUCUUCAACGAGGAUUGCCUUGUAAGCGCACGUCAUCAGCGUGCAUUGAAUACGACCCUGUAUUCUGUACACACCGUCCGUCGCUCCUACCGAUUGAAGUUUUCGGUGAGUUGACAGGAGGAUUUUUUUGAAACUGGUUCGCCAGUGGAUUUUAGAUCCAAAUGCCAACGAAUCGAUGGCUUUAGAGGAAGGAGAAGUCGUAACA
rnacentral:rRNA from 1 species